rnacentral:rRNA from 1 species
AGUGAACGCUGGCGGUAGGCCUAACACAUGCAAGUCGAACGGCAGCACAGUAAGAGCUUGCUCUUACGGGUGGCGAGUGGCGGACGGGUGAGGAAUACAUCGGAAUCUACUUUUUCGUGGGGGAUAACGUAGGGAAACUUACGCUAAUACCGCAUACGACCUACGGGUGAAAGCAGGGGAUCUUCGGACCUUUCGCGAUUGAAUGAGCCGAUGUCGGAUUAGCUAGUUGGCGGGGUAAAGGCCCACCAAGGCGACGAUCCGUAGCUGGUCUGAGAGGAUGAUCAGCCACACUGGAACUGAGACACGGUCCAGACUCCUACGGGAGGCAGCAGUGGGGAAUAUUGGGCAAUGGGCGAAAGCCUGAUCCAGCCAUACCGCGUGAGUGAAGAAGGCCUUCGGAUUGUAAAGCCCUUUUGUUGGGAAAGAAAAGAAGCAGGUUAAUACCCCGCCGUUCUGACGGUACCCAAAGAAUAAGCACCGGCUAACUUCGUG